rnacentral:rRNA from 1 species
AUUGAACGCUGGCGGCAGGCCUAACACAUGCAAGUCGAGCGCGAAAGGUCUUCGGACUGAUUAGAGCGGCGGACGGGUGAGUAAUGCUUGGGAAUCUACCUAGUAGUGGGGGACAACAGUUGGAAACGACUGCUAAUACCGCAUACGCCCUACGGGGGAAAGGGGGGGAUCUUCGGACCUCUUGCUAUUGGAUGAGCCCAAGUCGGAUCAGCUAGUUGGUGGGGUAAUGGCCCACCAAGGCGACGAUCCGUAGCUGGUUUGAGAGGAUGAUCAGCCACACUGGGACUGAGACACGGCCCAG